UAUAAAAAGAAGAGAAAUAAAAAAUUGUUUGAAGAAUAAAGAAAUCAUAUAGAUUCAAAUAAAUUAAAUCCUGAAGAAAAUGAAAAUAUCGUUAAAUAAGAACGAGAAGCCACCAGCUGGAAUUAUAAGAAAAUUAGUAUCCUUGGAAUAUGGUGACGAAUUGAAAGCACGUCAUUGGUGCGGUAUCAAUGAAAAUCGAAUGAUGUAAAAUGGAUCCAUAAAAAAAUUCAGAAUUCAAAACACUUUUUUGGGAUUCAAAUGCAUUUCAAUUUCAAUGCCAAAUUAAGGUUUAGAAAAUUGAGAAAGAAACACUGCCCUUAAGAUUCCCGCUGCUACAAAUUUUCCAGAAAUAACAUCGGAUAUCCAUCACUUAAUUAACAGAUAAAUUAAGAGUGCAUAUGAAAUUUUUAAUCUGUUGACGGGGAAUAUGAUGAAGCUAUUCUAUCUUCAUCAUAUUCCCCGUCAACAGGUCCGGAGACUACGUUGGAUUAUUUGGAUCGAGGAAUUUAUGCUGAACACGAAUACAUUAAUAUUCUUUAUGGGCUUUUAAAGAUUCUUAUGGAGUUUGGUAUAAAAAUGUACGAAAUCUGAGAAUCCUCUAAAAUAUUGAAUGAAAGAAGAAAAUUUUAAUUUAUUAAUUAAUAACUGUUAGCAUCACUUAACUGGGACAAUAAUAAAGGAGUUUGCGGCACAUAGUUACAAUGUUGCAUUACAAGCGCUAUAAUAAAGCA